rnacentral:rRNA from 1 species
UACGUAGGGCGCAAGCGUUGUCCGGAAUUAUUGGGCGUAAAGAGCUCGUAGGCGGUCUGUUACGUCCGCUGUGAAAACCCAGGGCUUAACCCUGGGCUUGCAGUCGAUACGGGCAGACUAGAGUACUUCAGGGGAGACUGGAAUUCCUGGUGUAGCGGUGAAAUGCGCAGAUAUCAGGAGGAACACCGGUGGCGAAGGCGGGUCUCUAGGAAGUAACUGACGCUGAGAAGCGAAAGCGUGGGUAGCGAACAGG